GGCCUCAUAGCUCAGGGGAUAGAGCACCGCUCUCCUAAAGCGGGUGUCGCAGGUUCGAAUCCUGCUGGGGCCAC
rnacentral:tRNA from 1 species